rnacentral:lncRNA from 1 species
UCCUAAUUAGGGGUUAACAAAUGACAUACAGGAAGGGUGAUUUUCCAGUACCAAACCGAGGGAAUAAAAAACAGUGGGUUGGCUGUUACUUUGUUGAUGAGUCUAACAUUCAUGGGUACAUGAAGGUUAAGAAUGUUCUGUAACCUAUGUUGUAGGGGUUCUAACCUCAUUUUUAAGUUUGCCUUUGAAUGUCUUAAACAUAUUCGAGUCCAGUACUUUGUGCAUUAAGAAAUUUUUG